AACUCCCCCCAAAAAAUUUCAUCCUUUUCCCUCAAAAAAUUUCACUAAGUCUUAAACCUAACUCUCUCUCUCUAUCUCUCUUCUCUCCCUGUCAAAAAUCCCAAAGUUCUUCUCUCUGCUCUUAACUCUCAAAAAGAAAAAAUCGUGAAGCACACAAAGUUCUCUCUCUGCUCUUGACCUCUCAGUCGUGACUGUACCCUAUGGCUGGCUCUCAGUCGUUUCUGAUCUCGAACUCUUCUCUCCCUCCUUGCGAAGGCUCAAGGGUUUGGGUUCUGAGCAAUUCUGUCAGAGGUCGAUUCGGCGACUACUUCGUACAGGGAUUUGGCGAGCAUCGAGUGACGAAUCCAACAAUGUUUCAGAGACCCAUCCAAGGGGUUCUGUUCUCCUAUUUAGAGAGAUCGAGGUAUUGGAUAUUCAGGAAAAGAAUUGUACUGCAAUACUGAUGGGGAACACAGGAAGUGUGAAAUCUCUCUGUCCUCAUCAAACUAAUCCUGGGUUUUGGUAUGUUCCCAUAAGUGUUGCGUUUUCUUCCUCGAAGAAGAGAUAAGUCAGAAAUUUGAGAAGACCCAUUGGACUGUAAAAAUUUUCAAGUAAUGGAGGAUGUUCUGGACCGGCAAAGUCAACCACUUAUAUAGAGCUAGAAGGAAGGACACAUACACCCAAAUGGAAUUGGAUGAGGUGCGAGAAGAAUUGGCAAGUCAUGUCCUAGAAUGGCUUUUUGAUUAAGCUAAACAUUCCUUCAUUUUAUAUGUCUUUCUAGCUAGUAUUUUGCUUAUGCAUAGACAAGUAUGGAUAAUUUGUGGUGUAGGGCUGGUAAAUUUGUGAUUUGGAUGUGACAAGUAUGGAUCAUUCAAGUAUUUUGCUUAUAUAAGAAAGUAUGGCAUUUCUUAAA